CCUUUUUGAGUUUUCAAGCUCUGAAGCCCUCUUUCUUCGAGGGUCCGCUAAACAGCGUCACCGUAGGUCGAGAACUCCAGGCCGCGGUCAUUUCUAGCGAUGUCGACUUUGAUGAGGAGGCAUAGGAAUUUGGGGAGAUGAUGGAACAUUGGAUGAGCUUAAAAAGAAUCUUCACGAUAAUAGCUCUAAGAAGCCAUAUGUAUCACCAAAUGAAAAUUCCAGAGCUUCAAAGCCCAACUAUCGUCCGGUUUCAGAGUGGGCAGUGAAUUAUUGGAAAACAUUAUGUGAAGAAAGAGAGAAGUGAUCUCCAGAAGGAAGGUCUGCCUGCUUUGUUCAGUGCUUCUGAGAGGCCCGAGGAGAGACCGGAGAAGCUACCAAGAAGAAACAAAGGAAACGGAUUGAUAUUGGACAACUAGUGGUUGAACCUCCAAAUGAUUUCAUUUCAGAUUGAAAUAUUGACAGCAUCCAUCCUUGUCUAUUAUAUAUGGGGGAAACUUCAUUUCCCUGGUUCUUUUUUGGAGGAAAAUGUUGGGAUCGGUUUGAAUAGUAAAUGGUAAACUGCUCCCAGGAAUUUAUAUCCUUGCUUGUAUUUUCCUUCAUAAAUAAAGUGUAGGUGCUAGAGUUGCAGACGCAGAUGACGAAGAUAACUACCAGGUUCUUCGUAAAGCUCUGUGAAGGGAGUAUCGGACUACCAUGAAGGAAUAUUUUCAGGCUAGGCAUUUGCUACGGAGGAUCAUGAUCGAGCAAACAAAACUUCUAGAACAAGUAAAGGGAGGCUUACUGCAGGCUCAUUUGCUUGUAUACGAAAUAAAUGCUUCAAAAUUUGAACAAGGGGCAGUUUCACUUCUUGCAGAUACCAAGCCGGAAUUGAUCAUGAGGUGAAAUGGUGCUUGACUUGCAUGAACGCGGUGCCGAGCCGAGGAGGCAAUACGUCUUUUGAAGUGUCAAAUUUCUUCAUUUUCUGGAAUUUUCUUAUGUUCCUAGUUAUUCUUUGAACUUUGUUUUCUUCUUAAUUGGAAUUAUUUUUUGUUGUCUUCUCGUCA